GCGUUAUCCGGAUUCACUGGGUUUAAAGGGUGCGUAGGUGGGUCUGUAAGUCAGUGGUGAAAUCUCCGUGCUUAACAUGGAAACUGCCAUUGAUACUAUAGAUCUUGAAUUUUCUGGAGGUAAGCGGAAUAUGUCAUGUAGCGGUGAAAUGCUUAGAUAUGACAUAGAACACCAAUUGCGAAGGCAGCUUGCUACAGGGAUAUUGACACUGAGGCACGAAAGCGUG
rnacentral:rRNA from 1 species